rnacentral:rRNA from 1 species
AACGAACGCUGGCGGCGUGCUUAACACAUGCAAGUCGAGCGGUAAGGCCCUUCGGGGUACACGAGCGGCGAACGGGUGAGUAACACGUGGGUGACCUGCCUCUAGCUCUGGGAUAAGCCUGGGAAACUGGGUCUAAUACCGGAUAUGACUCCACGGCGCAUGUUGUGGGGUGGAAAGCCUUGUGUGGCUAGAGAUGGGCCCGCGGCCUAUCAGCUUGUUGGUGGGGUGAUGGCCUACCAAGGCGACGACGGGUAGCCGGCCUGAGAGGGCGACCGGCCACACUGGGACUGAGACACGGCCCAGACUCCUACGGGAGGCAGCAGUGGGGAAUCUUGCGCAAUGGGCGAAAGCCUGACGCAGCGACGCCGCGUGAGGGAUGACGGCCU